rnacentral:misc_RNA from 1 species
GUGCGCCACUCUACUGGCUAGUGCUCAUUCCUCUCUUCGCUGUAGCGUGCAGAGUGUGUGCCGGAGCGGGAACUGGACAGAGGUGCUGGCGGGGUACCUCUUUGCGCUGUGCUUUCCGGUUCACUUGUCCAGUCAGAGGAGCCUGCAUGCGUGCGCUUGUGCGGAGUUGCUUCUAGCCCCUCCUUACUUUCUUGUUCUCUCAGUGUACGCGUCUUCGCACGCGCGACCACAAGGGCGAUCCCCCUUUUUUUUUCCCUCUGCCGAACCUCUCUGUGCUCUUUCCUUGGCAAGUACUGCACGUUGCCCUUGCAGAGCUCUUCCUCGCCGUUCUUUUUGUUUGUUUUCCUUCUUUUAUUUUGGUAUCUUUGCUGUGCCAUCACCGCCGCCACACCCCCAUCUCUCUCUCCCCCCUUCUGUGUGUAUGUGUGAAAGCCUUCUGCUUUUGAUGUUACUUUUUUUUUUCGUGUGUGUGUGUGUCUUCGUUUUCCGUUUCGCUUUGUUGCCCCUCACAUCUCUGUACCACUUGCCCUCCCCUUCCUGUCUUUUACGUUAGUUAGAAAUCCCGUGUCUCGUUAGCGUCCUCGCUGCCGCGCGUCAACGCAAAGCCUCCUUUUUUAAGAAGCGCCUCCGACAUAUUUGCAUUUGCCUUCCUCUGCUCCUCUCCAGCCUAUCCACACCUGUGAAAAGAAAUGGAGCGGACGGUGAGUGAGCUGGUGUCGCAGCACGGCCCCACGCCGCACAUGGGCCUGCUGCGAUGCCAGAUGGAGCGUCGUGGCCGGCACAGCCUAAAAGGCUACAAGAAGCGCUUCUGGGUUGUGGAUGAGCGCAACGGCUGGCUAGAGGUGUACAAGAAUGAUCAGGAGCACGUGCCCAUAGAGGUCUUUCGUGCCGCCGACAUCCGCAACGUCAUCUACUCCGAUGAUAAGCAGAACCGCUUCUUUAUGAUGUUGGUGCAGACACGCGGGCCGCGCGAUAUCAAGUUUCGCAUGGGCAGCUUUGAGGAGCGUGAGUCCUGGUCCAAGGCGAUUACGCACAUAAUGGAUGUCUACUCUGCCAUCAACAAGCACAAGAACGUACUGGGCAUGGUGCUGCGGCGCGCCAAAACUGUGUCGGAGGCCCUCGGAGUCAACAUCUCUAUUGACAGCGGACGCCUGCUCGCUGAGGUACCGGAGGACUUGCUGCAGUACGUUGCCGAGGCUGUCGACAUUGCCUUGGUGAGCGUCACGGCGAUUGUGCGCUCCUUCAAGGAGGAAGGAGCGGACAUGCCGCGCAGCUACAUCCUCUACGUGCACGCUAUCACGGAAGAGCAGUCACCGUACCAGCGCAAGGAAACCAAGUACAGCCCAGAAGGGCGGACCAUGACCAUGAACGUGUGUCUUCUCCGAGUCAAGUCCGAGCGGGUCAGCUUUGUCGUGACGCAGCCAGAGGAGGUGUUUCGGCUGGUGCAAUCAAGCGUCUUCCGCAAUCCUGUAAUUGAGGGCUGGAUCGAGAGUGAGCCUAACUGCGCGCGGGCGUGCGCUGCCAUCCAGGACUACCUCGAGCUGCCGGCGGGGCGGAGCAGCUGGAUCACGUUUCAGUGGGGCCAGCACGUGAGCGACAGCGCCAAGGUAGAGGCCUUUCUGCAGAGAUUCGUGACGGCGACCUUCUUCGAGCGCGCUCUGCAGAGCGUCAGGGAUGCCGUGGUGCGUGUGGAGCGGCUGAUCGCGGACACGAAUGCGCAGACGACGGCCAAGAGCUUUACAGGGGGCUCCCCUGCUGCUCCAGCGCGCGACGGCGGCUGCUCAUCGCCGUUCAGCGAGCGACGUCAGAUGACAACUCCUGGCGUAACUGUGCAGCCGGACAGCAUCGUUUUCAGCAACAGCAGCCUUGCAGCAACGAGUGCGACUGGCGGCUUCGGCGGUGCGGCAGGCGGUGGCUUCCAUACUCACCAGCCCGCGACCCCCCCUUUGGCAAAUAACGCUGCGGGUGGCGGGUCCGAUGCCGCGCUUGCCAUUCGGUUUAUCCGUGAGAAUGUGGCAGGGUUGUGCAUCCAGCUGGAUAAACGCGUCGUCGAGAAGGGGACCGCACCGCCGCCGAUUGUCACGCUGCACGCAUCCGAGUACGAGCAGCAUUGCCGGCCCGCGUUCCUGCUGGUGGCCAAGUGCCACCGCGUCUUGCCUCGCAAGCACCACGUGACGAAGGAUGUGCUAAGUGAGGAGCUCUACGAGGUGGCCUACAACGCCUUUCUGCAGCAGCAACUCAGCCUUCUGCGGACCGAGCUGAACGGCAUCUUUCACAAACAGGUGAAGGUGGUCAUCAUGUGGGAUCUCCUCUUUCGCGCCGCCGCAGGCCUGAAGACGCCGGUUAGUGCGGAGGAGUUGCCGCACCUUUUGCGGUACGUGAAAGAUGUUUGCCUGUCGAGGCUACAGCACGUUGCUCAGGUGCUGCGUCAUGCUCGCUCCGACGUCCCCGGGCACGUAGAGGACCACAGCUACCUGUACAAGGCUUUCUGCAGCUGCGUCGGGACCGUUGUGGUCAACUUCUUGCCGUAUACGGUGAGCAGCGACGCGAACGUCUUUGAGCCAAACUUGCAGGCUGGCGUACUGACCGACACGCUCUACUGCACCAAGGAGGAGUCGAUGCCGAGCUUGAUGGCGGCCCUCGGCCACGCCCACCGGGGCAGCGCUAGCAAGACGACGCGGGUCUCGCUGAUGGGAGCGGGCUUUCAUGGCGUUCUUCUGUACGCGGCGGAGGCAAAGCUGGGGGCGUGGUGCGAGAGCUACUUCUCGGACCCCGAGAACGCGACUCCAGACCCGCGACGCCAGCUUGUGGAGGACGAGUUCGACAGCGACACGGAUGGCACGUCGGUCGGGAUGCUGCAGGACCCCGACUUUGGCGAAGCGGUCGCCUACGAGCGGAGCGCUGAGAUUCGGCCGCUGACGAUGCAGCGAGUCGUGAACGCAAUCUACGACUCGCAGCGCCACGCGCCUGUGGAUCUAAAGAUCGGCUCCGAAGACAUCAUGCGCGCCAUCCACGCCUUCGUUUCAGCCUUUGGCGAUGACAAGCGACCCAGCAAGCAUGAUGUGGCGCGCGUCCUCAUCAUCAAUCUUCAGCGUCUGCGUCAAAUGUACGUGCGCGCCGUUGACGACGAGACGACGUCGCUGCUGACGUUCGAGCAAGCGCGCCAGCUCCUGCGCGACUUCUGCGAGUACCAAACAAAUGAGCAGUACAUUGAUGUGGCGCUGCGCGAGGUGCCUAGGCUGGGGACGGAGCCAGCGUCGCCGCAGGAGGGGCAGGAAGGAUCCCAGAGAGAGUCGCACGAGCCGGUGAGGACGGUGAAAGAGGAGAUGGAUGCUGACGUGAGUGACAGCGGCCACCCUCUAGAGGAGAAUAAUGCAUACCCGCGCAGCCCCCGCCCCCGCGCCAUGAACGAAGCCAGCUUGAGUGUCGUGAGUAACGGCACUGCGAACGGCGCCGAGGUGACGAGACGCGGGAAUAGGCGCUGCUCUUUGUCGCGGCGGCGGCUACAGAGCAACAGCAAGAGAGCCAGCGCCAUCGUUGCUUCCCGCACCGCGGAAAGCCCAUCAGCCCGGUCAGCUUUGGUGACACCAGGCGCGAUGUCCGACCGUAGCGAGCCGCAUAUCCGCGUUCCCUCCACAACGUCCGAUGCCUUCGACUUUGCCUCUGUCACAGACGUAGCGCUGACGGUGUUGCUGCCGCGCGAGGCCCGCCUGGCUCGUCUCGCGUGGCGUGUCGGGUUUGUCUUCGGCCUUGAGAACACCGGCAAAUCGCUCAUCAUCAACUCCAUGCGCGGCAUCGCAAGGCCGACGGUAGCGACGGUGGGCCUCUCCCAGCAAGUCGUCGCCUUUGAUGAGUGGGUGUGGGCACUGAAUGAGCUUGGCGGUCGAGAGAGCUUUCGCAAGAACUGGCGCUACUACGCACUCCGAAUCGACACCGUUCACUUUCUCAUGUUCGUUCUCGACGUUCUCAACGGGCAAGCGCUGGGCGAAGCGCGGCAGUAUCUGAAGGAGGUCACCAACCACUACCACGAGGCUCCGCUGCUCGUCAUCUUCAACAAUUUCCGCGAGGGGCACCGACGCUUUGACAUUCGCGAGUUCGAGGCCCUCAUCCAUCUCGAUAAGCUGCGGCGGCGGCACGGCGCCGACGUGCUCUCUUGCGUCUGCGACAUAACAGUGGUGCACUCAAAGAACCGACAGCUCCCGCGAACAUUGAGCUCUACGCUACGCACACUCUCGAGCCUGCUCAAAGCCCGCUCCAAGAGCGAGAAUGGCGGAGACGGGGGAGCUCCACCGGUUCCGAAGGCGACCACUACCUUUUCCGCGAGCGUGGUAGGGGGUGCGGCUGGCGCUGCGGCAGCGGGUGCUGGCGUAGGGCACUCGACGUAGAAAACGCCGGCUGCAGUUGACAAGUAAUGCUGCUCUUUGGGCUACGUUGAACCCCCCGCUACAGCGUGGCCGCGGCGACAUCCACCGCCCACAGGCCUCACCACACACACACACACACACACAUACGACACGACCGCAGUAUCGGCCUUCCUAAAGGUCGGCGAACACAAGGAUCUUGCUCGCAUGAGGAGCUUUCCGUCUCUCAUAUCGUGCCGCUUUUUGUUUCGUUUCCCUUAAUCGACAUGCAUGGCCUCCUUUACCUCUGACUCUGACUCUCUCAUAUAUGCAGUUCAAGUCGGUCGCGUGUACGGGGUCGACACAGUAGAGGAUGAGGGCCUCGAGUGGACUUCUCUCACCAAAUCGCUCCCCCUGUUUUCCCUCUAUUGUUUCGUUUCCCGUCUCGAACGACGCGAACCCAUUUUCCGCACGAUCUUGCGUUUUCUCUUCCUCGCUCCGUGCGUUUUGCGCAGACACUCACACACGGAGCCACUGACGCGCUCUUUGCAGCCCACAUUUGCCAAGCAGCAGUGAAAUAACAAGAAGAAGCCCUUUUUGGAGAAGGC